UACGGAGGGGGCUAGCGUUGUUCGGAAUUACUGGGCGUAAAGCGCACGUAGGCGGCUUUGUAAGUCAGAGGUGAAAGCCCGGAGCUUAACUCCGGAAUAGCCUUUGAGACUGCAUCGCUUGAAUCCGGGAGAGGUGAGUGGAAUUCCGAGUGUAGAGGUGAAAUUCGUAGAUAUUCGGAAGAACACCAGUGGCGAAGGCGGCUCACUGGACCGGUAUUGACGCUGAGGUGCGAAAGCGUGGGGAGCAAACAGG
rnacentral:rRNA from 1 species